UGCACGAAUUACUAAUAGUAAAUGUGUCAGGAAUCAGCAUUUGGAGUCGAGCCCAUCCGGAAUUUUCAUGUAGGGUUGUCGAAGUUGAGCCGAGGGGACGCUACCCGGACCCUCGUUCCUCCUUUGGGAGCCACCACAGGCCUUGGCCACAAUUCCGGCAGCCGAUUUUGCAAUUGACUUCAAAAUCUUCAAUAUAAUCCGCCCUCUUCUGGGUGGAACUGGAAGAGCAUGAUUUGAUUCAUUUGCGCUUUUCUGGGGUGCCAUUUGUUGAAGCUUUAAUUUGGGUGCGAUCAAAUUUCAAGAAAUGGAGGGUCUUUUGCUAGUGAGCAAAGGAAAACAGAGAGCUUAUGCAGCAGAGCUGAGCAGGAAUGGCAGAGUAGUGACAGAUAUCAGUAAUGAUUAUGGGAAUUUGUAGCACUCCAAUUCUUGAGUCCCAAGUUUGCGUGUGAACAUUCUAUCAAAAAAAAAAAAGAAAAAAGAUUUGAGUGUGAACAUUUUUAUUACUCAGUAGUAGUAUUGUAGUAGUGGUGGAUUCCCAAGCCUCAAAAGCGAGUACUUACUAUUUGGAAAUGGUCCAUGAAAGCUAGACGUUCAAAUUAAUGGCCAGUGGAGU
rnacentral:lncRNA from 1 species